rnacentral:rRNA from 1 species
UCGAGGGGCAGCAUGGUCUUAGCUUGCUAAGGCCGAUGGCGACCGGCGCACGGGUGAGUAACGCGUAUGCAACCUGCCCUUCACAGGGGGAUAACCGGGAGAAAUUCCGACUAAUACCGCAUACGUCCUCCGGGGGCAUCCUUGGGGGAUGAAAGAAUUAUCGGUGAAGGAUGGGCAUGCGUGAUAUUAGGUAGUUGGCGGGGCAACGGCCCACCAAGCCCACGAUAUCUAGGGGUUCUGAGAGGAAGGUCCCCACAUUGGUACUGAGACACGGACCAAACUCC